GGUGGCUCAGUGGUAGAGCGCUUGCCUCACAUCCAUGAGGUCCUGGGUUCGAUUCCUUAGCACCA
rnacentral:tRNA from 1 species